CCUCGGGGGGCUGCAGUGGGGAAUAUUGGACAAUGGGGGCAACCCUGAUCCAGCCAUGCCGCGUGUGUGAAGAAGGCCCUCGGGUUGUAAAGCACUUUCAGUGAGGAAGAACGCCUGGUGGUUAAUACCCAUCAGGAAAGACAUCACUCACAGAAGAAGCACCGGCUAACUCCGUGCCAGCAGCCGCGGUAAUACGGAGGGUGCGAGCGUUAAUCGGAAUUACUGGGCGUAAAGCGCGCGUAGGUGGCUUGAUAAGCCGGUUGUGAAAGCCCCGGGCUCAACCUGGGAACGGCAUCCGGAACUGUCAAGCUAGAGUGCAGGAGAGGAAGGUAGAAUUCCCGGUGUAGCGGUGAAAUGCGUAGAGAUCGGGAGGAAUACCAGUGGCGAAGGCGGCCUUCUGGACUGACACUGACACUGAGGUGCGAAAGCGUGGGUAGCAAACAGGAUUAGAUACCCUAGUAGUC
rnacentral:rRNA from 1 species